UACGUAGGGUGCAGGCGUUAAUCGGAAUUACUGGGCGUAAAGCGUGCGCAGGCGGUCUUUUAAGUCAGAUGCGAAAUCCCCGGGCUUAACCUGGGAACUGCGUUUGAAACUGGAAGGCUAGAGUGUGGCAGAGGGGGGUGGAAUUCCACGUGUAGCAGUGAAAUGCGUAGAGAUGUGGAGGAACACCGAUGGCGAAGGCAGCCUCCUGGGCCAGCACUGACGCUCAUGCACGAAAGCGUGGGGAGCAAACAGG
rnacentral:rRNA from 1 species